UUUUCGGUUGUUUGAAAUUAGAAUCAACUUCUAGUUUCAUUCUUGACUCGUUUGAGCCUGUAAACAACUUGUUGCUUCAUUAUUGUCUAGAUUGAAGUUGGGAACAACUUGUAGCUUCAUUCCAGACUCGUUUGAAGUUGAAAACAACUUGUAGCUUCAUUUUCAGUUGUUUAAAAUUAGAAUGAAUUUGUAGUUUCAUUCUUGACUCGUUUAAGCCUGUAAACAACUUCUUGCUUCAUUAUUGGCUAGAUUGAAGUUGGAAACAACUUGUAGCUUCAUUUUCAGUUGUUUAAAAUUAGAAUGAAUUUGUAGUUUCAUUCUUGACUCGUUUAAGCCUGUAAACAACUUGUUGCUUCAUUAUUGGCUAGAUUGUAGUUGGAAACAAAUUGUAGCUUCCUUCCAGACUCGUUUGAAGUUGAAAACAACUUGUAGCUUCAUUUUCAGUUGUUUAAAAUUAUAAUCAACUUUUAGUUUCAUUCUUAACACGUUUGAGCGCGGGAACAACUUGUUGCUUCAUUCCAGACUCGUUUGAAGUUGAAAACAACUUGUAG
rnacentral:lncRNA from 1 species